rnacentral:rRNA from 1 species
AAUCAGCCCUGAAAAUGGAUGGCGCUUAAGCGGGCGACCGACACCAUGCCGUCUGUACAAGAUGAAUGUUUACAGAUGAGUAGGAGGACGUGGCGGUCGUGUCGAAGCAUGCGUGCGAACGCGUGUGGAACGGCCGCUAGUGCAGAUCUUGGUGGUAGUAGCAAAUAUUCAAGCGAGAUCCUUGAAGGGCGAAGCGGGGAAGGGUUCCACGCAAACAUUGAUUGGGCGUGGGUGAGUCGUUCCUAAGCCGAGUGGCAAUUGCUAAGUAGCGGCGAAAGGGAAGCAGGUUGACAUUCCUGCACACGGAUGUGGAGGCGGUGACGCUUUAAUGAGGGCGAAGACGCUGGCGAUGGCGCUGGGCAGAGAUUUCUUUUCUGUUUGACCGCUGAAGCGCCCGGUGUGGAAUCCGCUUGUCGGGAGAAACACGCGCGUUCGGGCAGAGCGCCGGGGCUAUUCCGGCGUCCAGCUCGCCAUCGACGGCCCUUGAAAAUUUGCCUGCUGGAAUAGUUUUUUUUAUUCUAUGAAGAUCCACGCCGUGGCGUACCGAUAACCGCAUCAGGUCCCCAAGG